rnacentral:misc_RNA from 1 species
UGUACGGCGAUCUUCACGUUCUUCUUUCGACCCUUUCGUCGGAGGAAGUUUACGGAACUCUUCACAGUCUCCAAGCACGAGAUUCAUGUGCCGGUCGAAAGCCAUGAAUUUCCCGAUCAAUUGACGACCAUCUUGUAUUGUAACACGCAUACGGUAAUUGAUAUAUUGAAGCAUCUUGGAACUCUUUGACAUCGACAUUUCGGAUGAAUUUUGAAGCAAAACGAAAAAUGGAGUUUUGGGGGGGUUUAGUAAAUUUGAGAAGCGGAGAUACGCCGGCUAGAGCGGUGGCACAGAGGGGCCCCGCCGCGCGCCGGGGGGAAGUGUAGCUUUGAAGGGGUUUUG